AUAUAAAACUGCUUUUCCCACUGUCACAUCUUACAUCUAAUAACAUUAGUAUUCUUAUCAAAAGACAAUUACCACCCAAUUGCAAAAACUACAUCUUUUGAGGGCAAAAACAAGAGGCUACUGCAAAACAUGAGGUAUGAAAUUACAAAUUCGGGACAGUUGGUAAUUGUUUAUCUGCAGAGUAGUUUAGAUUACAAGCUACGAAUAUGCUACUAUUCUGAAUGAUGUUCAGACAAGGAGGCACAGAAAGUCUAUUAGUUUUGCUUGAACUCAUGCUUUUUUCAAUUAUAUAUCAAAUCAUUCUGCUAGAUUACAAUGAAUGUGAUAUAUUAUUUGAUCCCAAAUAUUUCCUUUUGUAAAAGUUAGAUUAGAAUAAAGUAACUUUAUUACACCGUUUCCAUUAUUUUUCCUGUGGACAGUCUUUUAAUUGACAAUGCUUCUGAUUCCUUGAGCAAAUGCUGUUAAAAUUCUGCUUCUUUUUCUGUCCUUCCCCAUUUUUUGUCCAAGUUGAUUCAGAGCUGCCGACAAGGAUGAACCUAAAAUUUGUUUCCCAUCAAGCCGUGCUAUCAAAUGCUUUUGAUCUGAAUAAAAUCAGUACCAUUAGCACAUUUU